GACAGUGUGGCAUAGUGCUUUGAGUGCUGGACUCCGACUCUGGAGACCAGGGUUUGAUCCCCAGUUUGGCCA